UCCAGUAGCGAUGCUCUGCGAUCGACAUUCAAGUCUGUUAUAUUGGUAUUUGGCGGUGCUGUUCUUCAACACUUCAGCAUGAGCGAUGAUCAACGAUGGAUUCACACGCACUUUUCUAGCAAUUCACUCUUCGCUUGAUCAACUGUUUGUUGCGCGGGCGACACAGCUUUUAUAUUUACGGAACAAACCUCAUCCUUCGAUUGAGAUGGAUGAGGAGGCUCUCUUCCUAUCAACACGUAACCGGGAUACGCAGUCGUAAUAAUCAUCAAAAGUAUGCC